UACGUAGGGUGCGAGCGUUAAUCGGAAUUACUGGGCGUAAAGCGUGCGCAGGCGGUCCGCAAAGUCUGAUGUGAAAGCCCCGGGCUUAACCUGGGAAUGGCGAUGGAGACUGCAAGGCUGGAGUUUGGCAGAGGGGGGUAGAAUUCCACGUGUAGCAGUGAAAUGCGUAGAGAUGUGGAGGAACACCGAUGGCGAAGGCAGCCCCCUGGGUCAAGACUGACGCUCAUGCACGAAAGCGUGGGGAGCAAACAGG
rnacentral:rRNA from 1 species